AGAUUGAACGCUGGCGGCAGGCCUAACGCAUGCAAGUCGAGCGGCAGCACGGGUACUUGUACCUGGUGGCGAGCGGCGGACGGGUGAGUAAUGCCUAGGAAUCUGCCUGGUAGUGGGGGAUAACGCUCGGAAACGGACGCUAAUACCGCAUACGUCCUACGGGAGAAAGCAGGGGACCUUCGGGCCUUGCGCUAUCAGAUGAGCCUAGGUCGAUUAGCUAGGUUGGUGGGGUAAUGGCUCACCAAGGCGACGAUCCGUAACUGGUCUGAGAGGAUGAUCAGUCACGACUGGAACUGAGACACGGUCCAGACUCCGUACGGGAGCAGCAGUGGGAAUAGUGACAAGUGGGACGAAAGCCUGACUCCGAGCCAUGCCGUCGUAGUGUAGAAGAGGUUCGUCGG
rnacentral:rRNA from 1 species